rnacentral:rRNA from 1 species
AUUGAACGCUGGCGGCAUGCCUUACACAUGCAAGUCGAACGGGUAACAGGUCUUCGGAUGCUGACGAGUGGCGAACGGGUGAGUAAUACAUCGGAACGUGCCCGAUCGUGGGGGAUAACGGAGCGAAAGCUUUGCUAAUACCGCAUACGAUCUACGGAUGAAAGCAGGGGACCGCAAGGCCUUGCGCGGACGGAGCGGCCGAUGGCAGAUUAGGUAGUUGGUGGGAUAAAAGCUUACCAAGCCGACGAUCUGUAGCUGGUCUGAGAGGACGACCAGCCACACUGGGACUGAGACACGGCCCAGACUCCUACGGGAGGCAGCAGUGGGGAAUUUUGGACAAUGGGCGCAAGCCUGAUCCAGCCAUUCCGCGUGCAGGAUGAAGGCCCUCGGGUUGUAAACUGCUUUUGUACGGAACGAAAAGGCCUGAGUUAAUACCUCGGGCUCAUGACGGUACCGUAAGAAUAAGCACC